rnacentral:rRNA from 1 species
AUCCGCCGGUGGAUUUUUAGCCCUGGUGGGUAGCUUCCCGGAAACGAAAGUCUUCCGGUUCCGGGGGAAGUAUGGUUGCAAAGCUGAAACUUAAAGGAAUUGACGGAAGGGCACCACCAGGAGUGGAGCCUGCGGCUUAAUUUGACUCAACACGGGGAAACUCACCCGGCCCGGACACCGUAAGGAUUGACAGAUUGAUAGCUCUUUCAUGAUUCGGUGGUUGGUGGUGCAUGGCCGUUCUUAGUUCGUGGAUCGAUUUGUCUGGUUUAUUCCGAUAACGAGCGAGACUCUAGCCUACUAAAUAGUAACGAGAUUAUCAAUGUCUCAGUUGCUUCUUAGAGGGAUUUUCGGUGUUUAGCCGCACGAGAUUGAGCAAUAACAGGUCUGUGAUGCCCUUAGAUGUCCGGGGCUGCACGCGCGCUACACUGGCGAAAUCAGCGUGCUGUAUCCAUUCUCGAAAGGGAUUGGUAAACCCAUGAAAAUUUGCCGUGCUUGGGAUCGGAAAUUGCAAUUAUUUUCCGUGAACGAGGAAUUCCAAGUAAGUGCGAGUCAUCAACUCGCUCUGAUUACGUCC